rnacentral:rRNA from 1 species
AUUGAACGCUGGCGGCAUGCCUUACACAUGCAAGUCGAACGGCAGCACGGGGGCAACCCUGGUGGCGAGUGGCGAACGGGUGAGUAAUACAUCGGAACGUGCCCAGUAGUGGGGGAUAGCCCGGCGAAAGCCGGAUUAAUACCGCAUACGACCUACGGGUGAAAGCGGGGGAUCGCAAGACCUCGUGCUACCGGAGCGGCCGAUGUCAGAUUAGGUUGUUGGUGGGGUAAAAGCCUACCAAGCCGACGAUCUGUAGCUGGUCUGAGAGGACGACCAGCCACACUGGGACUGAGACACGGGCCCAGACUCCUACGGGAGGCAGCAGUGGGGAAUUUUGGACAAUGGGCGCAAGCCUGAUCCAGCCAUGCCGCGUGCGGG